rnacentral:rRNA from 1 species
UGGGGAAUUUUGGACAAUGGGCGCAAGCCUGAUCCAGCCAUGCCGCGUGCGGGAAGAAGGCCUUCGGGUUGUAAACCGCUUUUGUCAGGGAAGAAAUCUUCUGAGUUAAUACCUCGGGAGGAUGACGGUACCUGAAGAAUAAGCACCGGCUAACUACGUGCCAGCAGCCGCGGUAAUACGUAGGGUGCAAGCGUUAAUCGGAAUUACUGGGCGUAAAGCGUGCGCAGGCGGUUUUGUAAGACAGAGGUGAAAUCCCCGGGCUCAACCUGGGAACUGCCUUUGUGACUGCAAGGCUUGAGUGCGGCAGAGGGGGAUGGAAUUCCGCGUGUAGCAGUGAAAUGCGUAGAUAUGCGGAGGAACACCGAUGGCGAAGCAAUCCCCUGGGCCUGCACUGACGCUCAUGCACGAAAGCGUGGGGGGCAAACAGAUUAGAUACCCUGGGUAGUCCACG